rnacentral:piRNA from 1 species
UCCACGCUUCCCACUCUUUCC